AUUGAACGCUGGCGGCAUGCCUUACACAUGCAAGUCGAACGGCAGCAUGGGUGCUUGCACCUGAUGGCGAGUGGCGAACGGGUGAGUAAUGCAUCGGAACGUGCCCUGAAGUGGGGGAUAACGUAGUGAAAGUUACGCUAAUACCGCAUAUUCUGUGAGCAGGAAAGAGGGGGAUCGCAAGACCUCUUGCUUUAGGAGCGGCCGAUGUCGGAUUAGCUAGUUGGUGGGGUAAAGGCCUACCAAGGCGACGAUCCGUAGCGGGUCUGAGAGGAUGAUCCGCCACACUGGGACUGAGACACGGCCCAGACUCCUACGGGAGGCAGCAGUGGGGAAUUUUGGACAAUGGGCGCAAGCCUGAUCCAGCCAUGCCGCGUGAGUGAAGAAGGCCUUCGGGUUGUAAAGCUCUUUCGGUGGGGAAGAAAUUGCUUCGGCUAAUAUCCGGAGUAGAUGACGGUACCCGCAUAAGAAGCACCGGCUAACUACGUGCCAGCCGCCGCCGUAA
rnacentral:rRNA from 1 species